rnacentral:rRNA from 1 species
UACGGAGGGUGCAAGCGUUGUCCGGAAUUAUUGGGCGUAAAGAGCUCGUAGGCGGUCUGUUGCGUCGGCUGUGAAAACCCGGGGCUCAACCCCGGGCCUGCAGCCGAUACGGGCAGACUAGAGUUCGGCAGGGGAGACUGGAAUUCCUGGUGUAGCGGUGAAAUGCGCAGAUAUCAGGAGGAACACCGGUGGCGAAGGCGGGUCUCUGGGCCGAUACUGACGCUGAGGAGCGAAAGCCAGGGGAGCAAACGGG